rnacentral:tRNA from 1 species
GACUCCGGUAUUGAUCUUGGUGCAGUGUGUGCGCUCGAACCGUACUGGGAAGCUGUACGAAAGGUGUACGCCCCGUUCGAAUCAGGGCUGCCGUCGCC